rnacentral:lncRNA from 1 species
UUUGAUUUUAUUUCAAGUGAAUUGGUUAGGAAAUGAUGAAUUAUGGUGAGAAAAUCAAGUAGGAAAAAUUAGUGUUGAUGCACCCACCAUGGCCGAAUUUUCCAAGAGAAAAUGUGAGGAUGAUUUUGCUAUAUUUCAAGUUAUUUAAUUUGUGUUUGAUGAUUUGGAGUAUUGGGAGAAAAAUAGAAUUAUUUGGAGUUGAAUUGGACAUAUUGGCC